rnacentral:rRNA from 1 species
UACAGAGGAUGCAAGCGUUAUCCGGAAUGAUUGGGCGUAAAGCGUCUGUAGGUGGCUUUUUAAGUCCGCCGUCAAAUCCCAGGGCUCAACUCUGGACAGGCGGUGGAAACUACCAAGCUGGAGUACGAUAGGGGCAGAGGGAAUUUCCGGUGGAGCGGUGAAAUGCGUAGAGAUCGGAAAGAACACCAACGGCGAAAGCACUCUGCUGGGCCGACACUGACACUGAGGAGCGAAAGCUAGGGGAGCGAAUGGG